ensembl:snoRNA SNORA62 Small nucleolar RNA SNORA62/SNORA6 family
CUUGCACACUCAGAGCUUGGAGCUGAGGCCCACUUCUGGCCAAGGAACUCUUGAGCAUAGGAUGUGUGCUACAGUAACAUGGCAGGACUUACUGACAGCCUGAGGGUGACCCAAUGAAAGGAUUUGGUAGUCAAUCUUGCCACAGUU